AGUCCAUGGUGUGGACAUUUUCGAAAUAAAUCUCGAAACCUUUCCCAUGUUUCAUAUAAUGAUUCACCUUCCAAUUGACUAAAACUAGUUAUAUCCAUUCUAAGUUU